UAUACACCGAAUCCUCAUAUGCGAGGCAAUACGGAGUUCUAAAACACACGCGUCGCCUUUGCAACGCCCCCUCAACCACAAACCCCUCUCUUAAACUCACGAUACCUUUCCCUCCCCUUACAAAACAAGCAAUCUGCAUCAACUAAACAUAACACCGAACGUCACUUCUAGUCGGAUUUUUAAAAAAGCCACCUAUCUUCAAGUAAUAUUUUACACUGGCUUCAACAAAAACACUUUUUGUUAGCCUUGUAAGGGGCCUCAAACGGUGGUGGGUGGGGGCUAUUUGAGCAGUGGAAAAUUGCCGUGUGUCUACACUGCCCUUAGCCACUCUCCUCCCCCUAGCCCACUGCUGCUGCCCCUUCCCAAAAGCUUCUAACUCCGUAACGCAGCUCGUACACGACCUCUCGUAACCCGUCCCUUCGUCUCAAGUUACUGCUUGGCAAGCAAAUGCCAAUUGGUCGGCUAUACAUGACACGCCCACUGAAUAUGCAUCGCGAUAGGCUGCAACCAUGAAGCUCAAGUUCGUGGGGGCACCGCCAGCCACAUAGCGCGAACGCCGCCACAGCAGAGGAACAGAGCAUUGGAGCAACUGAUGUUGUCACACAAGCCGUCCAGCAACAUUAAAACGCGUAUUCAAGGCUGCGAGAGCAUACACCAUCUGGUAAAGAGCUGACCUCACGAGUUGCCUAACGGUGGUGUUGCAAUGGAUGCCUCUCCCCAUCAACCCACAAGUGUGCUGGCCCUGGCAGGGGAAAAUGCUGGCCAGCUGCCAGACACUGCAAAAUCAACAGCUGGAGAAGCAUCAAUCGCAAACAAACACAAGACCCAUUUCAAAGCCGAUCAUCGUUCAUAUUUUGGGAUUUUUUAUGAAAUGAUGAUUUAUAUCUUCUACAAAGAAAAUCCGGCUGGGGAUAUUGAGUCCAGAUCCAUUACACAGGAUGCAAGGUAUGCCACAAAGUGCCAAUGCAUUGUGACUGUGCUCAAACAGGACAUUGCCCUUCACAGUGUGACAGAAUACAAGUGCAAGACUGUCCUGCAGAAGAUGAAGGAUUACUUUUUCAUGCCAUCUAUGUUUCGGAUUGUGUUGGUGGAACCAAGACGAUGGCUCAGAGUCGUGCUGCUCAUCUUCCUGGCCGUGUGCCUGCUACAGCUUUGGCCAGUGCUGCUUCUCUUCAGCCCACUCGCGAUAUGCGUAUUUAUGUUGCAGGCAUACUGCGGAAUUUGUGCAUGGGACAAUGUUGAUGGAGAGAGACACGAUGCGAUGCAUUCCCACAUGCGUCCUGCAAAUGUACUCCCUGCUUGACUGAGCGUCCCUUUAAGUGUGCAUUUAGGAAAGGGCCACGGUUUGGGUGCUUUUUUUGAAUUAAGAUUCUCGACCCCUGUCCCCAUGUGACACACUGUACCUACAUGUCACCUUAGCCAUAACACUGCAACAUGUGUUUAAAUUUACCAGUGCAUGCUUCUGCCUUUACAUGCCAAAUAAAAAACACGUAUUCAUUUGAAAGACUUAUUAACACAAAACUCCUGUAUAAUAAUUGAGGUGAUUUAGAGUAUCGUACUAAUUUUUUUAUCAAUGUUGGAAGUGAAUGUAACAAAUAUGCAAAAAAACAAAUGUCUUUAAUGAGCAAAUAAUGUAGAUUUUAUAUUGCAGUCUUGUUUUAUGUUGGCAAAAGCCUACUGUGAAUAACGCAAACAUCUUAUGGUAAGCGCACUAAAUAAAUCUAGACGUAUGGCACACUCAAUGGACAGAAUCCCCAAACAUAAUAUCUCAUAGGUAGCACCUGAAGUUAAUAUUUAAAAUCACCUGGUCACUAUAUUUGAAGCUAAUUUCUAUUGUUUUCAUACUACAUUAAGUACAACCUUUUUACUACAAACCAUGACAAUCAUGAAACCACUUUUAAUAAUGAAUCACUUUCUGUAUUAAUCUCGAAAUACUAUCAUGAGUCAUGUCAUGUCUUUUAGAAUCACAUUAAAAAAUAUAUAAUUGUUGAAGAAUUAAAUGAUUUAAUUGCUGCCCUUUGUUAAUCUACUGCUAAAUGAAGGCUUCACACUUUCAAUCUUGGGGUUGUUUGACCUUACUUCACUGUGCUGGUCGGUGUCAGUUUGUGAAGUGGGGGGAAAUAAGACAGAUUCAGCUUUGAACCUAUGAAUAACCUAGGCUAAAUAAUCUAUCAGAGCAGACCAAACCUAUUUGUGUCAUACCACGCUGAGCAUUGAACUCUACUGAAUGGUGUAUGGGAUCAGUUCAGCAAGUCACUCAGACAGCCAUCAUGUCUACAUUUCACUGUAUAAUUAGUCAACCAAAUUCAAUUACGUUCCAUGCAUUUAACCAAAUUUUAACCAAGCUGUUGGAAUGAAACUUUUGACCCAAUCUUCCUCUGAAGGGUAGUAAAUUUUACUGAAACCAUGGAUUAAAGCAUUUCAUUGUACACAAAGGGAUAACGCAUUGUUGGGCUGUUAUAUAUUUGACUUCAUAUAAUGUUAAAUUUAGAUUUAAAGCUUUCGUGACUGCAGGGAUUCAUAUUCUUGGUUCUUUCGGUAAAGUCACGUAGAAGGGAAAUAAAAUAAUAAAAAUAUAAAAAAAAUAAUGUCAUUAAUAAUGGGUUUCAAUACUGCGCUAAUGACAAGUAUAUCACAUACUGUACUAUUGUUGGCCAUUAAGACUUGUAGCAAAACCUAACCAUAUGUAGCAUACGACAUAUGUUAUCGAAAACACAUGUUUACAUACGAACACGUAUCAAUGGAAAGAUGCAUCGUGGCACCUUCCAUAAAAAUAAACCUCUUUAAUACAAUAUAUUCGAGUUAUUUUACAACACACGUACAAUUCUGUAAAGGGUCUGCUGUUGUAUGCGUACGUUAUAUCAAUUGCAGACAUACUGUUUGCUUCUAUUGUCUUCAUGUCAGUCGCUAAUACUCAACACACAUUGAAUAUUGUGAUUAAAGAGUGUGAAGUUA